rnacentral:rRNA from 1 species
UAUGUGGAUACCUGUGGAAAAGCUAGAGAUAAUACAUGCAAAAAGGGGAAAUUCUAGCAAUAGAAAAUCCUUGCAUUAACUGGCAUCAUUUUAAAAGGAGGUACAAAUCUUUUUUGAUGAAACACAGUUCACUAAAUAGCAGAGCGAAGCAAUUCGCCGCUUCAUUCAAAUUUCUUAUCUAUCAACUUUCGAUUGUAUCAUAGGGGCAUACAAUGGUUUUAACGGGUAACAGAGAAUAAGGGUUUUAUUCUGGAGAGGGAGCCUUAGAAACAGCUACCACUUCCAAGGAAGGCAGCAGGCGCGAAAAUUACUCAAUAAUAAUACAUUGAAGUAGUAACAAUAAAUAACGACUACGUAAAUAUUUAGAAAUAAAUAUUGUAGAUUGUAAUGAGUACAAUUUAAAAUUAUUAAUUAGAAUCAACUAGAGGGCAAGUCUGGUGCCAGCAGCCGCGGUAAUUCCAGCUCUAGUAGUAUAUAUUUAAGUUGUUGUAAUUAAAAAGCUCGUAGUUGAAACUUUAAUACCUUUUAUAUUGAAUUGAAUAAAAUAAUUUUAUUUGGUUCAAUGAGGUAUUAAUAUCUAGAAUAAUUAACUUUAUAUAAGAAUGAAAGUUUUUAUAUAAAUGUUUUUAUUCAUUUUACCAUAAGUAAAAUAGAGUGUUUAAAGCAGGACUUUUUGUCCAUUGAAUAAUAGAGUAUGGGAUAAUAAAAGAUGAAAGAGAAAAGAUGUAUUUCUCUUCCAGCGUUAAAAACUGGAAGGUCUUUUUUCUUUAAUGAUUAAUAGGGACUAUUGGGGCAAUUAAUAUUUCUACUCGAGCGGUGAAAAGUUUAGACAGUAGAAAGAUUAACUAAUGCGAAAGCACUUUGCAAAGGUGUUUUCAUUAAUCAAGAACGAAAGUUAAGGGAUCGAAGAUGAUCAGAUACCGUCGUAGUCUUAACCAUAAACUUUGUCGACAAAAGAUGGGAUUGAAAAUAUAAAUAUAUUUUCUUUCUAAAAAAAGGUACUAAAAUAGUUCUAUUGUUUUAGCAAUAAAAUAAUAGAACUUGUAACUGUCUCUUCCCGAAUUUCGUAAGAAAUUAAGAGUUUUCGGACUUUGGGGGGAGUAUGGUCGCAAGGCUGAAACUUAAAGGAAUUGACGGAAGGGCACCACCAGGUGUGGAAUUUGCGGUUUAAUUUGACCCAACACGGGGAAACUCACCAGGUCAGGACAUGAUAAGGAUUGACAGAUUAAAAGAUCUUUCAUGAUUUUAUGGGUGGUGGUGCAUGGCCGAUCUUAGUUCGUGGUAUGAAUUGUCUCUUAGUUCGUGGUAUGAAUUGUCUGCUUAACUGCGUUAACGAACGAGACCUUUAGAGAUAAAUAGUGAUGUAUGGAAGGUGUCAAAAAUAGGAGGUAUCUUUGGGAGAAGGGCAUGUUCCCCUUUCAAAUGUCAUUGCCUUUUAUUUAUCUUUCAUAUUAUCUAUUUAGAAAUGUAAAAUGUCAAAAGUUUUGCAGUUUUAAAUAACUUACUUCUUAUUUCGACUAUUGAUGUUCAAUCAAUGUAAGUUAAAGGCAAUAUCAGGUCUGUGAUGCCCUUAGAUGUUCUGGGCCACACGCGUAUUACAAUGGUAAAGAUCAAAGGGUAUUGAGAAAAUUUUGAAUUGGAGAAGGAGGAAACUCUUUUUUCAGUUUAAAUUUCUCUAUGCUUAAUAGAAAUAUUUGGCUAAUCCUUUUUGAAUCUUUUUAACCAUAUCUGGGAUAGAUGCUUGUAAUUUUUCAUCUUCAACUUGGAAUACCUAGUAAACAUAGUUCAACAAACUAUGUUGAUUACGUCCCUGCCCUUUGUACACACCGCCCGUCGCUCCUACCGAUUGAAUUAUCCGAUGAGUUAUAAGGAGAAAGAGUUUAUUUAGUAGCAAUAUUGAAUUUAUUUUUUCAAAUUAUAACAAAUCUUAUAAUUUAGAGGAAGGAGAAGUCGUAACAAGGU